rnacentral:rRNA from 1 species
GGAUGCUUUUGGCAAGGUGCCUUCCGAGUUCCCUGGAACGGGACGCCAUAGAGGGUGAGAGCCCCGUCUGGUCGGAUACCGCGCCUCUGUAAAGCUCCUUCGACGAGUCGAGUAGUUUGGGAAUGCUGCUCAAAAUGGGAGGUAUAUGUCUUCUAAAGCUAAAUAUUGGCCAGAGACCGAUAGCGCACAAGUAGAGUGAUCGAAAGAUGAAAAGCACUUUGAAAAGAGGGUUAAAAAGUACGUGAAAUUGUUGAAAGGGAAGCGCCUAUGACCAGACUUGGGCCCGGUGAAUCAUCCAGCGUUCUCGCUGGUGCACUUUGCCGGGCACAGGCCAGCAUCAGUUUGGCUUGGGGGAAAAAGGCUUAGGGAACGUAGCUCCUCGGAGUGUUAUAGACCUUUGCAUAAUACCCUGGGCUGGACUGAGGUUCGCGCAUCUGCAAGGAUGCUGGCGUAAUGGUCAUCAGCGAC